UACGGGGGGGGGCAAGCGUUGUUCGGGAAUUACUGGGCGUAAAGGGCUCGUAGGCGGCCAACUAAGUCAGACGUGAAAUCCCUCGGCUUAACCGGGGAACUGCAUCUGAUACUGGAUGGCUUGAGUUCGGGAGAGGGAUGCGGAAUUCCAGGUGUAGCGGUGAAAUGCGUAGAUAUCUGGAGGAACACCGGUGGCGAAGGCGGCAUCCUGGACCGAGAUUGACGCUGAGGCGCGAAAGCUAGGGGAGCAACGGG
rnacentral:rRNA from 1 species